GGAAUAUUGGACAAUGGGCGAAAGCCUGAUCCAGCAAUGCCGCGUGUGUGAAGAAGGCCUUCGGGUUGUAAAGCACUUUAAGUUGGGAAGAAAAAACUUUGGCCAAUAUCCAAAGUCUUGACGGUACCGACAGAAUAAGCACCGGCUAACUCUGUGCCAGCAGCCGCGGUAAUACAGAGGGUGCUAGCGUUAAUCGGAUUUACUGGGCGUAAAGCGUGCGUAGGUGGUUGGAUAAGUCGGUUGUGAAAGCCCAGGGCUCAACCUUGGAAUUGCAUCCGAUACUGCUCGACUAGAAUUCGGUAGAGGGAGGCGGAACUCCAGGUGUAGCGGUGAAAUGCGUAGAUAUCUGGAAGAACACCGAUGGCGAAGGCAACCUCCUGGGCCUGAAUUGACACUGAGGCACGAAAGCGUGGGUAGCAAACA
rnacentral:rRNA from 1 species